rnacentral:sRNA from 1 species
GCUGGGCAUGGUGGCCCACGCCUGUAAUCCCAGCAGCUUGGGAGGCUGAGGCAGGAGGAUAGUUAAUUCAAAGCCAGCUUCAGCAAAAGCCAGGCACUAAACAAGUUAGUGAGACCCUGUCUCUA